rnacentral:rRNA from 1 species
UAAAGAUUCAUCGCCGAUAGAUAGGCAUGCGUUCCAUUAGGCAGUUGGCGGGGUAACGGCCCACCAAACCGACGAUGGAUAGGGGUUCUGAGAGGAAGGUCCCCCACAUUGGUACUGAGACACGGACCAAACUCCUACGGGAGGCAGCAGUGAGGAAUAUUGGUCAAUGGGCGCGAGCCUGAACCAGCCAAGUCGCGUGAGGGAUGAAGGUUCUAUGGAUCGUAAACCUCUUUUAUAAGGGAAUAAAGUGUGGGACGUGUCCUAUUUUGUAUGUACCUUAUGAAUAAGGAUCGGCUAACUCCGUGCCAGCAGCCGCGGUAAUACGGAGGAUCCGAGCGUUAUCCGGAUUUAUUGGGUUUAAAGGGUGCGUAGGCGGCCUUUUAAGUCAGCGGUGAAAGUCUGUGGCUCAACCAUAGAAUUGCCGUUGAAACUGGGGGGCUUGAGUAUGUUUGAGGCAGGCGGAAUGCGUGGUGUAGCGGUGAAAUGCUUAGAUAUCACGCAGAACCCCGAUUGCGAAGGCAGCCUGCCAAGCCAUGACUGACGCUGAUGCACGAAAGCGUGGGGAUCAAACAGGAUUAGAUACCCUGGUAGUCCACGCAGUAAACGAUGAUCACUAGCUGUUUGCGAUACAGUGUAA